rnacentral:rRNA from 1 species
GCGUAAAGAGCUCGUAGGUGGUUUGUCGCGUUGUUCGUGAAAUCUCACGGCUUAACUGUGAGCGUGCGGGCGAUACGGGCAGACUUGAGUACUGCAGGGGAGACUGGAAUUCCUGGUGUAGCGGUGGAAUGCGCAGAUAUCAGGAGGAACACCGGUGGCGAAGGCGGGUCUCUGGGCAGUAACUGACGCUGAGGAGCGAAAGCGUGGGGAGCGAACAGGAUUAGAUACCCUGGUAGUCCACGCCGUAAACGGUGGGUACUAGGUGUGGGUUUCCUUCCUUGGGAUCCGUGCCGUAGCUAACGCAUUAAGUACCCCGCCUGGGGAGUACGGCCGCAAGGCUAAAACUCAAAGAAAUUGACGGGGGCCCGCACAAGCGGCGGAGCAUGUGGAUUAAUUCGAUGCAACGCGAAGAACCUUACCUGGGUUUGACAUGCACAGGACGCCGGCAGAGAUGUCGGUUCCCUUGUGGCCUGUGUGCAGGUGGUGCAUGGCUGUCGUCAGCUCGUGUCGUGAGAUGUUGGGUUAAGUCCCGCAACGAGCGCAACCCUUGUCUCAUGUUGCCAGCGGGUAAUGCCGGGGACUCGUGAGAGACUGCCGGGGUCAACUCGGAGGAAGGUGGGGAUGACGUCAAGUCAUCAUGCCCCUUAUGUCCAGGGCUUCACACAUGCUACAAUGGCCGGUACAAAGGGCUGCGAUGCCGCGAGGUUAAGCGAAUCCUUUUAAAGCCGGUCUCAGUUCGGAUCGGGGUCUGCAACUCGACCCCGUGAAGUCGGAGUCGCUAGUAAUCGCAGAUCAGCAACGCUGCGGU